AAAAAAACUAGAGACCUAAAAAUGAGAUCCCUUCCGCUUUGGAGAAGAGAAAAGGCGCAUCCCUCAUCCUCUCUACUUCAACAGAAGAACAGAGAACCCUUCGCAUUUCGGAACCAUCAACGAUUCCCUCCUCUUCUCAUCUUACUCUCCUCUAAUAAUCAUCUCACUCACACACACUAGAAAAUCAGGAAACCCUCCCCCCAUUCGGUCAUUUCGAUUGAGAACGGAAGAAGAGCAAAAUCAGGAGAAAAUCAGUCUCCUCUAGUCUUCAAUGGUAUUUCAAAUUCGAAAAUUCAUAAAGCAUCUCUAGUUUAUUUGGAUGGAUUUCGAUUUCAAAAACCAUAGAUUGAAGCUGAAACGGGAGUUCGAUUAUUGGAGUUGAUGUUCAUCUUUGUUUCUAAUUGAGUUCCGAUUAUUUGCUCGUUAGUUUGUUGCUAUUGAUUGCUGAAAUUUCUGUUGAGCUUCAGUCGAGUUUUCCUCAGUUUAUUCGAGUUUUCUUGUUCAACCAGGUUAGUUUGAAGAUUCUCUGUAUUCUUGCUUGAUUUUACAUGAUUAAUUGAGCUACUUCUGAACUUGUUGAAUGAAUCCUAUAAAAUUCAAUUACUGUGUUUAUGAGUUAGUAAUAUUAGCCUUCAUGAUAUAUGGUUAAAAAGCGGUUAGGUUCUGCUUAACAUUGUCUGUAGUUGUUGUUACUGCUUUUUCAUGCAAUAUUGGACUCUGAAAAACUGAUGUACUAGCUUUCUUCUGUAGAAGUUUUUGAUUAGGCAUGAUCUACUUUAACAAGAUCUAUGACAUUUAAACGUUGGUUACCAUGAACUUCUAUGUUAUAUUUUGGCAGGAAAUUAGUAUAUUUUCUCUCAUGAAUCUUACUUAUUUCUAAGAUAUUCCAUCUAUACAAUGGUAUAAUUUCUUUGAGACUUAUUCUACUGUGUAUACAUCUUGAACAAAUGUGUGACCAUGUACGAAGGCUAUUCUAUUUUGUCAAGUUAUGAAUAGGUCCCUCUAAAUUCCAUUUCCUUUGUGGCAUGUUAAGUUUCCUUCCUAAAAAUGUGGUCGAUGAAUUGAUUCACUGUGUGAAAUAAAGUUAUUAUAGUAUAUUAGAAUUUGAUUCCUUGAAACGGUAGUGAUGGUGAAGUAUGUUAAUUCUUGGAUGGAGUAAUUUCCUAAUGGCUUGACAUGUGAAGAUUGAUCCUUUUGUUUUCCAAAGUUGGUUCACUUUUGUCACACCUCCUUUUUUCCUCCCCCGCGGGGGCGUAGGGAGUUUUCUCCAAUUAAAGGACAGUCGAAACGGGAUUUGUUUGUUUACUUCAGAGUCACCACC
rnacentral:lncRNA from 1 species